rnacentral:misc_RNA from 1 species
GUGUGUUUCGCAUGUGUCUCACAUACGUCGACGCGCACGCCAACUCCUGAAUCGAAGGCAGCAAGCAGCCGCAACAACAACAGCGAGCGAACGAGCCCCCCUUCCCCCUCCAAAUACGUAUAUAACGAGAGGGCGAGCCACCGCGUCUGCACCGGCGCCGUUGUUUGCUGCCCCCCCCCCCACCCCCACCCCUCUCGUCUGCGCGUAUUACUCGCGAGUCUGCCUCAGCGACAAUCAUCAACCACAUCGCCCCCCCCUCUCCACCGCUUCCUCCCCAAGACGCCGGCAUACACAUCGAGACACAGGCACAGCAGAGGGCGCGGGGCUAGAGAGCAUACCGCGUAGUCGCGUUUCGUUCUCCUCCUCCUUCGUUUCGUAACAUGCUCCGGCGUCUCACUUGCAUGGCGGCGUCCAUGGGACGUGCGGCGGCCUCUCUCUCGGUGUCCCCUGUCGUGGCGCAGAUGCCGAGCGCGAUGUGGGCGCCCAGCAAAGCCUCGACCUCUGCGGUUGCCUCGCUCCUGCCUCCAUGCUGUCAGCCGAUGUAUCAGCAGCGUCGCUGCUACGCGUCCCGUAGUGGGGAGGAAAAGGGCAGUGCUGGCAAGGGCAAGCAAGCUGCGGCGGCAGCAGUGUCCACGACACCCCGCACGGCGACCGCCAAGGCGGUACGAUAUUUCGCAGCCAACGAAAAUAAUGCCGGCGCCGCCACCCGUGCGCAAGGCAGCGUGGAGCAGCAAGAGCAGCUCUCCGCGGCAGCGGCGAACGGCGGCGGUGCUGCCACCUCUGGCAUCCGCACCAUUGGUAUCAAGCUCACCGAGGACGACGAGCUGGUGCGCGCCUUCAACAAUUUCUCCAAGAGCGUCAACGGCUGCACCCAGGAGGAGUUUCUCAUCGGUGCGAAGCAGGCCUACUACAGCCUCGCCGUCGUCAUCAGCGCCUUUCUCGAGCACGUGCAGCCGCUGGCAGGGAGGACCGAGUCGACCAAGAUGAUUGCCGCCGCGCAUGAGGCGGCGAAGCUGCUAGACAAGGAGUUUAAGCCCGAGAGUCGCUGCGACGCGGCGGCGGCAUUGCUGGCGUCGAAAGCGGAGGCGGACGGCAAGGACGACUCCUCUUCCUCUACCAAGACGAAGCUGCAGGACUCGCUCGUUCGUAGCGUUGUCUCUACGAUCGUCUCCCUCAUCCCUGUCUCGCGGCACUUGGCGGAGUCCAUCUUCAAGAUUUGGCUUCUGCAUAAAGACAAGCAGGUGAACCUGAGCAGCAUCGCCUCGCCGGCGGACUACGUGCUGGACUCGAAGCUGGUCAUCUUCGCCCGCUUGGGCAAGGCACGCAUGUACUUUAACUCCGACAAUAUCGGCGCCGAGGUGGACGUGACCUUCAACAAUGACUACCUGCGAAAGCUGGACCCUGCAAACGUGGCCGGCAGUGGUGCUGCAGGGAGUGCGCAGAAGGCGGACGCGGCCGGCAAGGUGGACGAGGAUGACUUUGACACCGGCAUGAUUCAGGUGCACACCGACACGGACGCCAACGCGCACCGCACCACGGCAGAGGAGCACACAUUCGUCGUGAACAAAGCCACGCGCACGCUUACGCCGACCGGCUCCACGGCUGCCAACACCGCAGCCGCGGCAGCGGCAGCGUCUGCGAACCAGGCAAGGCACAGUGGAGGGAACUCGGCCUCUGCUGGUGCCGGCGGGGCAUCAACUGCGGAUAGCGCGAAGUCGCCCGGCACCGCGUCACGCAUUCAAGUCACUUGCGUGAAGCCCAAAGGCUUUUGGAAGAGUGCAAGCACGGCAACGGUCGCUGAGACAGCGGUGCCUGACGAGGUCACCGCGAAGACGGCAGCGCCCAAAGAAAGCUCGGAGGAGGAGGAGGAGGCGCACUCUGUGUACAUCAAGGUGAACGGCAAUAUGCUGCCGCCGAUUCCUGCCUCGGCCCAUGCCUGCGCACUGCUCACCGUGGACGUUGUCGUGCCACCGGAGCGGUUCGCCUACAACUUUGAGUGGUUCUACAAGCGCAUCGUCGGCUACGAGAACGAGUACGAGCGCAUCGCGGCGGCGCGCGUGUUCGCGUCGAACAGCCCGAAGCCGCUGGCGAGCUUUCUCGACUUCUUUAUGCGCAUGGUGACAGGGAAACCGGUGGAGUUCAUGUUUUCCAAGGCGAUUGGGCGUAUGAUCGGCAUCCCGGAUGACGUCUCGCAGACCCCGCCGGCGACGCGCAAGCUCAUGUGCAUGUACAUGGACCAAUCGCACAAGUGGGUGCUGGCCGAUCUCGUCACGCUUGCCCCGGUUAUGGAGACGAAGCUGCCCAAGGCGUAAGCGCAGUGUACCACCCCCCUCCCCGCCGCCGCCUUCCGCUGGAAGGAGCGGGUGGGUUGCGAAUGCCGGCGGCGAUGGAUGAAGAUAAAAGCUAGUGUGUGUACGGGGGCGGGCGGAGGGGAAGGGAAGGGAUGACGGGCGGAUGACGUUGCAGCGUACGAUGCUCCUGCAUAUCCCCUCCCCGGUGUUUCUGCCUGUAUGUCUGGCUUGGCCAGAAGCCUUCGUCUGCUCCCGUUGGCAGCACUGUGUAUGGGCUGUGGCGAUGUAGCGGCGGUAAGGCUGGCUGUCCUUGGACAUCUUGUGAGCGACUCUGUCUUGUGAUUAUGGGGUGGAUCUGACUCUUCGGCGAGACGGUUUCCUCUUACGGAGGUGGCGGGCGGCCCCCUCCCCCUCAUUCUGUUUCCUCCGCGUCGUGAGGAUUUACAUCAAUACGGCAGUGUGCGUGUGUGCGCGCGCUUGAUUUUGUUGUGCUCCAGCAACGUGCCGCUGCGCUUUCCUCUCGCUCGCUCGCUUUCGUGUGGUUGUCUGCGUAAUGCAUGUCAUGCGUCUCUCGGGUAUGUGUGUGUGUGUGUCUGUGUGUGUCUGUGGUUGUGGGCAGAUGCACAACUGCAUCGCGUUGCGGAAUGGGGCCGCCGCCACCACCCAACACACUCUCUCCUCCUUCAAGCUUAUAAGGAAGCCCGCACGGUAAAAAGAAUGCACAGCAAACUACAUAUAUACGAAAGCUUCGCGAGGCCACAUACACACACAGGCACCGUGUGUGUAUGUGUGUGUGUGUGUGGCUGUGGCUUGUGCAUGUGGUCAUGAUAACUGUUGACGCUUCCACGUCGGUUGCCGAAGUAUUCAUGUGGGCGCGGCGGCGGGGGCGGUGGAGGGGGGGGGUUAAGGGAGGACAGCCGGAGGCAGAUGCAAGGGCGCCGGUCACUCAGCGCUCUCUUACCCUCUUCCUUUGCGUGGCCUUGAGCAGCUCGGAUGGCAGACACACGCGUGAUACGAGAAGCAGGAUGGCAAGCGCUGGUCCUGAUGAAGCAACGUCUGUGAAAGCUGUCCUCUUGAGAGCCUCCCCACCCCCUCUUCCUCUGGCGCCUUCGGGCGCCCUCAACAGUGGUAAGUAUGUGCACCUCUUAACCUCGUCACCACGGCCACGGUCCACCUCACCCUCCACAAG